CCCCUGACUGCCAUGGAACCAUCAUUUAAGAUUUUCUUGAUUGAACAGGAACUUCCUCUGAGGAUGAAAUCACAACAAAAGUGUUGCCAAUGAUGAUCAGGGACAAGAAAGAGGGUUUCCAAGAAACUUCCUCUGAGGAUGAAAGCACAAGAAAGGUGUUGCCAAUGACGAACAGGGACCAGAAUGAGGGUUUCCAAGAAACUUCCUCU